rnacentral:rRNA from 1 species
AUCUAGCCAUGGGCAGGUUGAAGGUUGGGUAACACUAACUGGAGGACCGAACCGACUAAUGUUGAAAAAUUAGCGGAUGACUUGUGGCUGGGGGUGAAAGGCCAAUCAAACCGGGAGAUAGCUGGUUCUCCCCGAAAGCUAUUUAGGUAGCGCCUCGUGAAUUCAUCUCCGGGGGUAGAGCACUGUUUCGGCAAGGGGGUCAUCCCGACUUACCAACCCGAUGCAAACUGCGAAUACCGGAGAAUGUUAUCACGGGAGACACACGGCGGGUGCUAACGUCCGUCGUGAAGAGGGAAACAACCCAGACCGCCAGCUAAGGUCCCAAAGUCAUGGUUAAGUGGGAAACGAUGUGGGAAGGCCCAGACAGCCAGGAUGUUGGCUUAGAAGCAGCCAUCAUUUAAAGAAAGCGUAAUAGCUCACUGGUCGAGUCGGCCUGCGCGGAAGAUGUAACGGGGCUAAACCAUGCACCGAAGCUGCGGCAGCGACGCUGAUGCGUUGUUGGGUAGGGGAGCGUUCUGUAAGCCUGUGAAGGUGGCCUGUGAGGGUUGCUGGAGGUAUCAGAAGUGCGAAUGCUGACAUAAGUAACGAUAAAGCGGGUGAAAAGCCCGCUCGCCGGAAGACCAAGGGUUCCUGUCCAACGUUAAUCGGGGCAGGGUGAGUCGACCCCUAAGGCGAGGCCGAAAGGCGUAGUCGAUGGGAAACAGGUUAAUAUUCCUGUACUUGGUGUUACUGCGAAGGGGGGACGGAGAAGGCUAUGUUGGCCGGGCGACGGUUGUCCCGGUUUAAGCGUGUAGGCUGGUUUUCCAGGCAAAUCCGGAAAAUCAAGGCUGAGGCGUGAUGACGAGGCACUACGGUGCUGAAGCGACAAAUGCCCUGCUUCCAGGAAAAG